rnacentral:rRNA from 1 species
GAAGGGGCGAGCGUUGUUCGGAUUUGCUGGGCGUAAAGGGCGCGCAGGCGGCAGACCAAGUCAGGCGUGAAAGCCCCGGGCUCAACCUGGGAACUGCGUCUGGGACUGGUUUGCUAGAGAUCGGGAGAGGAGAGUGGAAUUCCCUGUGUAGAGGUGAAAUUCGUAGAUAUUGGGAAGAACACCGGUGGCGAAGGCGGCUCUCUGGACCGAUACUGACGCUGAGGCGCGAAAGCGUGGGGAGCAAACAGGAUUAGAUACCCUGGUAGUCCACGCUGUAAACGAUGUGUGCUAGACGUUGGGGAGCCUAGCUCUUCGGUGUCGCAGCUAACGCGGUAAGCACACCGCCUGGGGAGUACGGCCGCAAGGUUA